rnacentral:rRNA from 1 species
AUGAACGCUGGCGGCGUGCCUAAUACAUGCAAGUCGAGCGAACAGAUGAGGAGCUUGCUCCUCUGACGUUAGCGGCGGACGGGUGAGUAACACGUGGAUAACCUACCUAUAAGACUGGGAUAACUUCGGGAAACCGGAGCUAAUACCGGAUAAUAUAUUGAACCGCAUGGUUCAAUAGUGAAAGACGGUUUUGCUGUCACUUAUAGAUGGAUCCGCGCCGCAUUAGCUAGUUGGUAAGGUAACGGCUUACCAAGGCAACGAUGCGUAGCCGACCUGAAAGGGUGAUCGGCCACACUGGAACUGAGACACGGUCCAGACUCCUACGGGAGGCAGCAGUAGGGAAUCUUCCGCAAUGGGCGAAAGCCUGACGGAGCAACGCCGCGUGAGUGAUGAAGGUCUUCGGAUCGUAAAACUCUGUUAUUAGGGAAGAACAAAUGUGUAAGUAACUAUGCACGUCUUGACGGUACCUAAUCAGAAAGCCACGGCUAACUACGUG